rnacentral:lncRNA from 1 species
AUAACCAUCUCAGUCCAAAGUGCAAGACAGACCGCAGUGAAAAGAGAAAGCAACAGCUAAAAGAUGAGUAAAGAAACGAGCAAAAGGUUAAUUUAGACAUCAAGCUUCUAGGUCUUAUUUGGGCGUAGUUAUUCAUAGGAUAAAGUGGAGAGCUGCCAAUUCAUUGGUGAUGGUCUGUGUCCAGGGGAUUGUCUCAUUGUCUGCUUCACUUUGUCGGUUCUAAUCUGUCCUCUGCACAUGCGAUGGAGACGUGCCGUGGAGUGGAGGGAGGGAAGAGGCCUCACUUGCAGUUAGUUCCUUCCUUCUUUCAUGGAAGAACAAAGCUCUUUCAUCCUCGAAUCUUCUAUCUGAACAAAAGUUGCGAGAAUUAUUUUAUCCCUAAAAAAUUUCCUUGAAUAAUUUCCACCUACUGCAUGAAACAAUGGUCCCUUUUCACUUCUAAAAGGACUAAAAGACUAAAAAGUACAUCUUUUUUUUAUUUAUUUUUAUUUUUUUAUGGGCACCAAAGUAAAGCAUAUGUGCUCUAUUUGGAGAAUGCAGAUGCCUCAAGCUGUGGCAUUUCUUUCUCCAGCUCUCAGCAAGUGGCCAUUUAGGCUUAAUUGCUCCUCACAGCACAGUCCAAUUAAGAACGGGCAUCAGCAGGAUGGAGUGUUUUUGACCCAUCAAAGAAUUCACAAUCCUUAUCCAGAUACAUGAGCUAUGAGUUGGAAUCACAGCAUUGUGACUUCUUUACCCAAGACUCUGAGGCUUACUUUCAAACCAGAGGCCAACAGAUAAGCACUGCUAAAUGUAAGGCAUUUUUAAGUCAUCUUUCCUUCAACAAGCAUUUACUGAGUGACAACUUUUCCAGGCACUGUUUUAAGCACUGGGAUAUAUGACUGAACAAAACAAACCAAGAGCCUUGCCCAUGUGAGUC